ACUUGAAGAAUCGAGAUGAUGUUGGGGU
rnacentral:piRNA from 1 species